rnacentral:rRNA from 1 species
CUGUGAGCUCGAUGAGUAGGGCGGGACACGUGGUAUCCUGUCUGAAUAUGGGGGGACCAUCCUCCAAGGCUAAAUACUCCUGACUGACCGAUAGUGAACCAGUACCGUGAGGGAAAGGCGAAAAGAACCCCGGCGAGGGGAGUGAAAAAGAACCUGAAACCGUGUACGUACAAGCAGUGGGAGCACAGAGCAAUCUGUGUGACUGCGUACCUUUUGUAUAAUGGGUCAGCGACUUAUAUUCUGUAGCAAGGUUAACCGAAUAGGGGAGCCGAAGGGAAACCGAGUCUUAACUGGGCGUUAAGUUGCAGGGUAUAGACCCGAAACCCGGUGAUCUAGCCAUGGGCAGGUUGAAGGUUGGGUAACACUAACUGGAGGACCGAACCGACUAAUGUUGAAAAAUUAGCGGAUGACUUGUGGCUGGGGGUGAAAGGCCAAUCAAACCGGGAGAUAGCUGGUUCUCCCCGAAAGCUAUUUAGGUAGCGCCUCGUGAAUUCAUCUCCGGGGGUAGAGCACUGUUUCGGCAAGGGGGUCAUCCCGACUUACCAACCCGAUGCAAACUGCGAAUACCGGAGAAUGUUAUCACGGGAGACACACGGCGGGUGCUAACGUCCGUCGUGAAGAGGGAAACAACCCAGACCGCCAGCUAAGGUCCCAAAGUCAUGGUUAAGUGGGAAACGAUGUGGGAAGGCCCAGACAGCCAGGAUGUUGGCUUAGAAGCAGCCAUCAUUUAAAGAAAGCGUAAUAGCUCACUGGUCGAGUCGGCCUGCGCGGAAGAUGUAACGGGGCUAAACCAUGCACCGAAGCUGCGGCAGCGACGCUUAUGCGUUGUUGGGUAGGGGAGCGUUCUGUAAGCCUGCGAAGGUGUGCUGUGAGGCAUGCUGGAGGUAUCAGAAGUGCGAAUGCUGACAUAAGUAACGAUAAAGCGGGUGAAAAGCCCGCUCGCCGGAAGACCAAGGGUUCCUGUCCAACGUUAAUCGGGGCAGGGUGAGUCGACCCCUAAGGCGAGGCCGAAAGGCGUAGUCGAUGGGAAACAGGUUAAUAUUCCUGUACUUGGUGUUACUGCGAAGGGGGGACGGAGAAGGCUAUGUUGGCCGGGCGACGGUUGUCCCGGUUUAAGCGUGUAGGCUGGUUUUCCAGGCAAAUCCGGAAAAUCAAGGCUGAGGCGUGAUGACGAGGCACUACGGUGCUGAAGCAACAAAUGCCCUGCUUCCAGGAAAAGCCUCUAAGCAUCAGGUAACAUCAAAUCGUACCCCAAACCGACACAGGUGGUCAGGUAGAGAAUACCAAGGCGCUUGAGAGAACUCGGGUGAAGGAACUAGGCAAAAUGGUGCCGUAACUUCGGGAGAAGGCACGCUGAUAUGUAGGUGAAGUCCCUCGCGGAUGGAGCUGAAAUCAGUCGAAGAUACCAGCUGGCUGCAACUGUUUAUUAAAAACACAGCACUGUGCAAACACGAAAGUGGACGUAUACGGUGUGACGCCUGCCCGGUGCCGGAAGGUUAAUUGAUGGGGUCAGCGCAAGCGAAGCUCUUGAUCGAAGCCCCGGUAAACGGCGGCCGUAACUAUAACGGUCCUAAGGUAGCGAAAUUCCUUGUCGGGUAAGUUCCGACCUGCACGAAUGGCGUAAUGAUGGCCAGGCUGUCUCCACCCGAGACUCAGUGAAAUUGAACUCGCUGUGAAGAUGCAGUGUACCCGCGGCAAGACGGAAAGACCCCGUGAACCUUUACUAUAGCUUGACACUGAACAUUGAGCCUUGAUGUGUAGGAUAGGUGGGAGGCUUUGAAGUGUGGACGCCAGUCUGCAUGGAGCCGACCUUGAAAUACCACCCUUUAAUGUUUGAUGUUCUAACGUUGACCCGUGAUCCGGGUUGCGGACAGUGUCUGGUGGGUAGUUUGACUGGGGCGGUCUCCUCCUAAAGAGUAACGGAGGAGCACGAAGGUUGGCUAAUCCUGGUCGGACAUCAGGAGGUUAGUGCAAUGGCAUAAGCCAGCUUGACUGCGAGCGUGACGGCGCGAGCAGGUGCGAAAGCAGGUCAUAGUGAUCCGGUGGUUCUGAAUGGAAGGGCCAUCGCUCAACGGAUAAAAGGUACUCCGGGGAUAACAGGCUGAUACCGCCCAAGAGUUCAUAUCGACGGCGGUGUUUGGCACCUCGAUGUCGGCUCAUCACAUCCUGGGGCUGAAGUAGGUCCCAAGGGUAUGGCUGUUCGCCAUUUAAAGUGGUACGCGAGCUGGGUUUAGAACGUCGUGAGACAGUUCGGUCCCUAUCUGCCGUGGGCGCUGGAGAACUGAGGGGGGCUGCUCCUAGUACGAGAGGACCGGAGUGGACGCAUCACUGGUGUUCGGGUUGUCAUGCCAAUGGCACUGCCCGGUAGCUAAAUGCGGAAGAGAUAAGUGCUGAAAGCAUCUAAGCACGAAACUUGCCCCGAGAUGAGUUCUCCCUGACUCCUUGAGAGUCCUGAAGGAACGUUGAAGACGACGACGUUGAUAGGCCGGGUGUGUAAGCGCAGCGAUGCGUUGAGCUAACCGGUACUAAUGAACCGUGAGGCUUAACCUUACAACGCCGAAG